rnacentral:rRNA from 1 species
CCUACGGGUGGCAGCAGUGAGGAAUAUUGGUCAAUGGACGAGAGUCUGAACCAGCCAAGUAGCGUGAAGGAUGACUGCCCUAUGGGUUGUAAACUUCUUUUAUAUGGGAAUAAAAUGUUCCACGUGUGGGCUUUUGUAUGUACCAUAUGAAUAAGGAUCGGCUAACUCUGUGCCAGCAGCCGCGGUAAUACGGAGGAUCCGAGAGUUAUCCGGAUUUAUUGGGUUUAAAGGGAGCGUAGGUGGAUUGGUAAGUCAGUUGUGAAAGUUUGCGGCUCAACCGUAAAAUUGCAGUUGAAACUGGCAGUCUUGAGUACAGUAGAGGUGAGCGGAAUUCGUGGUGUAGCGGUGAAAUGCUUAGAUAUCACGAAGAACUCCGAUUGCGAAGGCAGCUCACUGGACUGCAACUGACACUGAGGCUCGAAAGUGUGGGUAUCAAACAGGAUUAGAUACCCUUGUAGUC